ACAACACCCGGUGGGCAGAAAGUUGAUGUUAAGGUUCCUUUAGAAGAAAAAGACUGCAGUUUUGCUCGAGUCCACUUGUCUUGUAUUUGAACUUCUAAAUUAUGACAACAAAGUUCAGAAUUUUUUUUCAGAUUUAUCCAGAUUGUUGUUUCCCUUUCACCUUUUUACCACGUCUUGACUUACAGGUUUUUUUUCGAGAAUGUCUUGACUUACAGGUUCAACAUGACCACUUAGCAUAUACUUCUGUAAGAGAAAACGCCACUGGGGAUUUAUCAGUGAAUGCUCUUCAUUAUAUCUUCUCUACAUUUGACUACAGAUGCAUGUAGCAGUUCCAUGGUCCUGCUCCGCUUCUCGCUCGGUGGUUUAAUCUUGAGUUCCUCAUGUGGUUCUCACAUGAGAUAGGAUGAUCUUCCCUGAACUUGAAGUCUCAGAACCUAUUCAUCAGCUAAAUCUCUCACAUAGGAUGAGAUUCGCACUUUGAUGCUGAUGCGGCAAUAGUGAGAGUGCGAGAGUAUUACUGGAGCAAAUAUCAUGCCUGCCCAAGUACAAGGAAAACGAAGCUCAAGAUUGAAAAGAAUGCUGCUGCCGGGAGCUGUAAGAUUUUUUUAACAAAAGAUAAAGACAUGAAUCAUGUGAAGAAA